rnacentral:rRNA from 1 species
UACGUAGGGUGCGAGCGUUGUCCGGAAUUAUUGGGCGUAAAGGGCUCGUAGGCGGUUUGUCACGUCGGGAGUGAAAACUCGGGGCUUAACCCCGAGCCUGCUUCCGAUACGGGCUGACUAGAGGUAUGCAGGGGAGAACGGAAUUCCUGGUGUAGCGGUGAAAUGCGCAGAUAUCAGGAGGAACACCGGUGGCGAAGGCGGUUCUCUGGGCAUUACCUGACGCUGACGAGCGAAAGUGUGGGGAGCGAACAGG